AAUAGACUGGGCCUCCACCUCCGAAGAUUCAUCCCUGGACCAGACACCAGUCAAGGCAAGAGUGAUGGCUGGUAGGAUUCCUCCUACACUGGAGAAGAGCCCCAGAGAGGAACCUUCCUGAGAAGCCGAAAAGGGACAGCAACAGCCGCCCAGCUCUGCCUGGAGACAUCUUCUGAAGACAUGGGAAAAGGAGACGAGGCGGGCUACUCCCUGGCAGCAGGCCUUCAAGCUGUUGACAACCAGUACCAAGAAGAGUGCCAGCCCUGAGGAAAGGCUGCCUACCCUCUUCAGAAAACCCUGAAGGUAUGUAUCAUCCAUCACCAAGGCCACCGCAGUCACCACGAAGCAAAGGUUAUCUGGGGACCCUGGGGGAGGGGGGUGUCUUAGCAAGAGCAGGG
rnacentral:lncRNA from 1 species